UGCCACAUGGUCUUGGGUUGUGACUUGGGU
rnacentral:piRNA from 1 species